AUUCCUCACUCUCCUCAUAUGAGGGAGCCCCCUGAUUUUAUUGCUUCAUUUGUCUACAAGACACAAGUUUCUUCAUGAGUAAAGCAGAAUUCCACAUGGAUUCUAAGAGUGACUUAUCCUUCUUAAAGUAUAUAAUUGUUGAGUUGGAGUUACAGCUUAAUGGUAACUGACUGUCCAGCAUGCCUAAAGUCUCAAAUAUGGAAGUUCCACCACUGAUUUGGACACUGUGCUAACAAUGUGCUCUAGUACAGAGCUCCACCUCCUGCCCCUCACAUCAUUGCCUUUGAAAAAGUGAUCUCCCCAGAGGAUUUUCUCCCUUUUAUACACGGAGACUUGUGGGAACUUUUUUGGAUAGUGUUUCUUUCCUUUGUAAGACUGGGAUCUGAGAUAUCUCUGUAAAAGUAAUUGUCUAAAGUGUUACAAGGUGAAAGGAUAAACAUUUUGGAAAUAAAGCUAUCAUACUAUCAUUCUAUUA